rnacentral:lncRNA from 1 species
CAAUAUAUCAUUAUGUCUCGAUGGGGAUUUCCAAGGAAAAAAUAGAAAUUGACUUGCUAGUCCUUGUUCAAAUUCUUUCAAGGUAGUGAGAUGUAACAUGUCACAUAACAAAUCUAGUUGAGCACAUCAUGAAGUUAUCACAAACAAUCCAUGUGCUACUAACACAUAUCUACAGAGAAGUAAUCACACUAGCAUAUUACAUUGUCAUUCAAGCCUUUGGUAAGAAAGAAAUAAUCAUUUUUACUACAUUUAUAACAUUACCAAAUAAAACAGAGAUAUUUUGAAUUUUCUCUAGCAACAAAUGUCCAACAAAAGGAUAAAAACUAAAAAUAUAAAUCAGAAUAUUAGGGAAGGAGAGGAACACAUCAUCAUAAGACUACAAGUACAAUUUUUUUUUGUCGGAUGGUCAUACACCGACAAAAUACAAAGGUGAGGGAUUUAACUAAAGACCAACAUCAAAUACACAAGUGAACGAUUGAGCUAAUGCUUCAACACAGAUUCAACCUACAAUGUCAUAUCUAUUAAAUAAGUUAUAGGGGAGUGAGUAAAUCAAGAUAAAUCGGUACCAGAGAAGAAAAAUGAUGAAUUGUAUCAUUGGCACAAAAGUCUCUCGGAUCUGCGACACCCAAAAGGGGAACACUCGUAGUGCACUCACCGCAUAGAUUGACAAAAAAAUCAAGAUAGCAAAUCCUUAUUGUUUCGUAGAAUAAAUUUUUCCUCAAAGCUGCUACAACAUCAAAUACAAUUUAGUAAUGAAGGAGUAGAAGGAAGAAUAUGAAGAGGAACACAAGGAAAUACUCACAGACUAGAAAAAAAAGCUCAACUCCUUGACCAUCAUAGCAGAUCCAAAGCUUUCAUGGGAGCACAUAGGUUUGAGUCAAAUACAAAUAUUUGUUUCCAGAUGUGACUCUGGUGUGGACAAAUGAGAUAUUAUAU